CACACAUCUGAUAAAGAUUGCUCCAGUCGAUGAAAGAACUUUCCAGGCAGAUCCUUUACAGCCUCAAAGAAAUGAGCGAGAACAUGAAUUCUUUGAGAAAAAACUCAAAGGCAAGUCAUGAGAUAUCAAAAUAUAACAUCACAGAGAAGAUGAAAAUUAGGCUAGUAAACGGAAGAAAACCCCUUACAGACAAAAUAAUUUCAGAAAUGUUAUGCUAGAAGCAGCAAGAAGUGGAAAAAGACAUUGCAGAAAUGCAUCAGGAAUUUGGAGACUGGGCCUAAGAAAAUGAACCCAAGUCAAAUGGAGAAAAAGCAAGAGGUAAAGGCUGGUUAGAGAGACCCCCAGAGGUACAUAAUCAGGAACAAGAGAACGAGAAAGAGAAAGGAGACAAGGGAGGCUGCAAAGGAAAUUAUUUUGAACUAAAGGAUGGCCUGCACCUUCAGUUUCAACAUGCCAAGGUUGGAAAAAUAUUGCCCCCCCAAAUCAACACACUAAGAUGUAUUUGGUAAAGAGCGAAACUUUAAGGAUAAAGAAGAGCCUUUGGGGCGUCCAGAUGAUGGUGAGGAGGGGGAUGAUAACGACAAUAGUGCAAACAACAACAGUAAUAGUAAGGUAAAGCUUUUUUUUUCGAGGACGACAUUCAGACUCGCCUCACAGAUUCCUGUGACCACAUUAAAACCACAUUAAAACCCAGAAAACGGUGGUUUAAUAGCUAAAGGAUGUGAGAAUGUUACCUCCAAGUAAAUUGUUUUUUUACCUGGAUUUCUUGUCUCAAUGAAAUAAGCGCUCCUGAGCCAUUUUUUUUUUAAAUACAAUUGCUCUAUGAUGAAGUAAUAAAAAAUGAUAAUAAAAUUGGAAUCCGGGAACAGAGAAGGCGGUGGUAUAAAAAGAUUGGUGAUACACAUAGAAUCUAUUUAAAUCUAAACCCAGGACUAAGACAAGACAGCAGUGGGAAUUACAGUCACAGGAGUGAAUCAGAAUAUAAUCAACUUGGGUGCUUUACAUCAUUGGGAGGGGGAUAAGGGAGCAGAAAUGGAAAGAAGUAUAGGUAUUCGGAUUUCCUCGUUUGCCAUUAUCAGGAGCAAGUAGAGAUCAUCUGAAAUUGUUAAAUCAAGAAGUAAAGAAGCCUUGGAGUUCCCGUCACGUGGUGUAGGGGUUAAUGAAUCCGACUAGGAACCAUGAGGUUGCGGGUUCAAUCCAUGGCCUUGCUCAGUGGGUUAAGGAUCUGGUGUUGCCGUGAGGCUGGUGGCUACAGCUCUGAUUCGCCCCCUAGCCUGGGAACCUCCAUAUGCCGUGGGAGCGGCCCUAGAAAAGGCAAAAAGACAAAAAAAAAAA
rnacentral:lncRNA from 1 species